rnacentral:rRNA from 1 species
AGGAUUCCCCUAGUAACUGCGAGUGAAGCGGGAAAAGCUCAAAUUUAAAAUCUGGCGGUCUCUGGCUGUCCGAGUUGUAAUCUAGAGAAGUAAUGCCCGUGCUGGACCGUGUAUAAGUCUCCUGGGAUGGGGCGUCAUAGAGGGUGAGAAUCCCGUCUUUGACACGGACUACCAGUGCAUUGUGGUAUGCUCUCAAAGAGUCGAGUUGUUUGGGAAUGCAGCUCAAAAUGGGUGGUAAAUUCCAUCUAAAGCUAAAUAUUGGCGAGAGACCGAUAGCGAACAAGUACCGUGAGGGAAAGAUGAAAAGAACUUUGGAAAGAGAGUUAAACAGUACGUGAAAUUGCUGAAAGGGAAACGCUUGAAGUCAGUCGCGUUGGCUGGGGAUCAGCCUUGCUUUUUGCUUGGUGUACUUCCUGGUUGAUGGGUCAGCAUCAAUUUUGACCGCUGGAAAAAGACCUGGGGAAUGUGGCAGCUUCGGCUGUGUUAUAGCCCCUAGUUGCAUACAGUGGUUGGGAUUGAGGAACUCAGCACGCCGCAAGGCCGGGUUUCGACCACGUUCGUGCUUAGGAUGCUGGCAUAAUGGCUUUAAGCGACCCGUCUUGAAACACGGACCAAGGAGUCUAACAUGCCUGCGAGUAUUUGGGUGGAAAACCCAAGUGCGUAAUGAAAGUGAAAGUUGAGAUCCCUGUCGUGGGGAGCAUCGACGCCCGGACCAGAACUUUUGGGACGGAUCCGCGGUGGAGCAUGUAUGUUGGGACCCGAAAGAUGGUGAACUAUGCCUGAAUAGGGUGAAGCCAGAGGAAACUCUGGUGGAGGCUCGUAGCGAUUCUGACGUGCAAAUCGAUCGUCAAAUUUGGGUAUAGGGGCGAAAGACUAAUCGA